rnacentral:rRNA from 1 species
UACGAAGGGGGCUAGCGUUGCUCGGAAUCACUGGGCGUAAAGCGCACGUAGGCGGAUUGCUAAGUCAGGGGUGAAAUCCUGGAGCUCAACUCCAGAACUGCCUUUGAUACUGGCGAUCUUGAGUCCGGGAGAGGUGAGUGGAACUGCGAGUGUAGAGGUGAAAUUCGUAGAUAUUGGCUGGAACACCGGUGGCGAAAGCGGCUCUCUGGCCCGGUUCUGACGCUGAGGCGCGAAAGCGUGGGGAGCAAACAGG